rnacentral:rRNA from 1 species
UACGUAGAAUGCAAGCGUUGUCCGGAAUUAUUGGGCGUAAAGAGCGCGCAGGCGGUUUUACAAGUCAGAUGUGAAAUAUCCGGGCGUUAACCCGGAGGGGUCAUUUGAAACUGUGAGACUAGAGUACAGCAGAGGAUAGCGGAAUUCCACGUGUAGCAGUGAAAUGCGUAGAGAUGUGGAGGAACACCGAUGGCGAAGGCAGCCCCCCUGGGCUAACACUGACGCUCAGGCACGAAAGCGUGGGGAGCAAACAGG